rnacentral:rRNA from 1 species
AACGAACGUUGGCGGCGUGGAUUAGGCAUGCAAGUCGAACGAGAAAGCACCCUUCGGGGUGUGAGUACAGUGGCGAACGGGUGAGUAACGGGUGGGAAACCUGCCCAGAUGUGGGGGAUAACAUUCCUAACGGGGUGCUAAUACCGCAUGUUCCGAUGGAACGCAUGUUCCAUCGGCAAAGAGGGCCUCUGAUUUAAGCUCUCGCAUCUGGAUGGUCCCGCCUCCCAUUAGCUUGUUGGUGGGGUAAUGGCCUACCAAGGCGACGAUGGGUAGCCGGCCUGAGAGGGUGUCCGGCCACACUGGGACUGAGAUACGGCCCAG